GUCGAGCGGACAGAAGGGAGCUUGCUCCCGGAUGUUAGCGGCGGACGGGUGAGUAACACGUGGGUAACCUGCCUGUAAGACUGGGAUAACUCCGGGAAACCGGAGCUAAUACCGGAUAGUUCCUUGAACCGCAUGGUUCAAGGAUGAAAGACGGUUUCGGCUGUCACUUGCAGAUGGACCCGCGGCGCAUUAGCUAGUUGGUGGGGUAAUGGCUCACCAAGGCGACGAUGCGUAGCCGACCUGAGAGGGUGAUCGGCCACACUGGGACUGAGACACGGCCCAGACUCCUACGGGAGGCAGCAGUAGGGAAUCUUCCGCAAUGGACGAAAGUCUGACGGAGCAACGCCGCGUGAGUGAUGAAGGUUUUCGGAUCGUAAAGCUCUGUUGUUAGGGAAGAACAAGUGCGAGAGUAACUGCUCGCACCUUGACGGUACCUAACCAGAAAGCCACGGCUAACUACGUGCCAGCAGCCGCGGUAAUACGUAGGUGGCAAGCGUUGUCCGGAAUUAUUGGGCGUAAAGGGCUCGCAGGCGGUUUCUUAAGUCUGAUGUGAAAGCCCCCGGCUCAACCGGGGAGGGUCAUUGGAAACUGGGAAACUUGAGUGCAGAAGAGGAGAGUGGAAUUCCACGUGUAGCGGUGAAAUGCGUAGAGAUGUGGAGGAACACCAGUGGCGAAGGCGACUCUCUGGUCUGUAACUGACGCUGAGGAGCGAAAGCGUGGGGAGCGAACAGGAUUAGAUACCCUGGUAGU
rnacentral:rRNA from 1 species